rnacentral:rRNA from 1 species
UACAGAGGGUGCGAGCGUUGUUCGGAAUUAUUGGGCGUAAAGCGAGUGUAGGCGGGCUCGUAUGUCGGGCGUGAAAGCCCUCGGCUCAACCGAGGAAGUGCGCACGAAACUGCGGUUCUUGAGUGUCGGAGAGGGUGACGGAAUUCCCGGUGUAGAGGUGAAAUUCGUAGAUAUCGGGAGGAACACCAGUGGCGAAGGCGGUCACCUGGACGAACACUGACGCUGAGACUCGAAAGCGUGGGUAGCAAACAGG